rnacentral:rRNA from 1 species
GACGAACGCUGGCGGCGUGCUUAACACAUGCAAGUCGAACGAGACGAUUGAAAGCUUGCUUUCGAAAGUCGAGUGGCAAACGGGUGAGUAACGCGUAGACAACCUGCCUUUGAGAUGGGGACAACAGUUCGAAAGGACUGCUAAUACCGAAUGUUGUAUAUUUUCCACAUGGAAGAUAUAUUAAAGAUGGCCUCUAUUUAUAAGCUAUCGCUCAAAGAUGGGUCUGCGUCUGAUUAGCUGGUUGGUGGGGUAACGGCCUACCAAGGCGACGAUCAGUAGCCGGUCUGAGAGGAUGAACGGCCACAUUGGGACUGAGACACGGCCCAGACUCCUACGGGAGGCAGCAGUGGGGAAUCUUGCGCAAUGCGCGAAAGCGUGACGCAGCAACGCCGCGUGGGGGAAGAAGGCCUUCGGGUUGUAAACCCCUUUCAGGAGGGACGAAGCCUGGCUGGUGAAUAGCCAGUCCAGGUGACGGUACCUCCACAAGAAGCCCCGGCUAACUACGUGCCAGCCGCCGCGGUAAGAC